UACGGAGGAUGCAAGCGUUAUCCGGAAUGAUUGGGCGUAAAGCGUCCGCAGGUGGCAAUGUAAGUCUGCUGUUAAAGAGUCUAGCUCAACUAGAUAAAAGCAGUGGAAACUACAUAGCUAGAGUACGUUCGGGGCAGAGGGAAUUCCUGGUGUAGCGGUGAAAUGCGUAGAGAUCAGGAAGAACACCAGUGGCGAAGGCGCUCUGCUAGGCCGUAACUGACACUGAGGGACGAAAGCUAGGGGAGCAAACGGG
rnacentral:rRNA from 1 species